UACGAAGGGGGCUAGCGUUGCUCGGAAUCACUGGGCGUAAAGGGCGCGUAGGCGGAUUACCAAGUCAGGGGUGAAAUCUUUCGGCCCAACCGGAAAAGGGCCCCUGAUACUGGUAGUCUCGAGGGAGGUAGGGGUCGAGGGAACUUCCGGUGGAGCGGUGAAAUGCGUAGAUAUCGGAAGGAACGCCGGUGGCGAAAGCGCUCGACUGGAUCUCUUCUGACGCUGAGGCGCGAAAGCCAGGGGGGCAAACGGG
rnacentral:rRNA from 1 species